CAAUCUCAAUCUCAAUCUCUCAAUUUAUUUAUUUAUUUUUUGAUAACACGGAAAGGGUAAGUUUUUGUUUUUGAUGAGUGGGUAUACUUCUUUGUAUGUGUAUGCGAGCUGUCCUGUUAGAUCUAUGGUUGUCUACUGAAGGUAGUAUUUUAUGGCCUCUAUUAGUACAAUCUUAUUAUGUAAAUUUUUGUUUGCGAUUAGCCAUUUUUGCAUUUUUGUUGAAUAUGAGUAAUUAUUUCGUUUGGAACUUAAAAUCACGAAUAAAUUUUCGUCUUAUUUAGUUACUUACAAAAUCAUUUCACUAGGAUUGAUAGUAAAUAAGUUCAUUUUUCUAUAGAUUUGAUUUUUUAAUUUGCUUGUAGGUUAACU
rnacentral:misc_RNA from 1 species